rnacentral:rRNA from 1 species
AGAGUUUGAUCAGGGCUCAGAUUGAACGCUGGCGGCAGGCUUAACACAUGCAAGUCGAGCGGCAGCGGAAAGAAGCUUGCUUCUUUGCCGGCGAGCGGCGGACGGGUGAGUAAUGUCUGGGGAUCUGCCCGAUGGAGGGGGAUAACUACUGGAAACGGUAGCUAAUACCGCAUAAUGUCGCAAGACCAAAGUGGGGGACCUUCGGGCCUCACACCAUCGGAUGAACCCAGAUGGGAUUAGCUAGUAGGUGGGGUAAUGGCUCACCUAGGCGACGAUCCCUAGCUGGUCUGAGAGGAUGGCCAGCCACACUGGAACUGAGACACGGUCCAGACUCCUACGGGAGGCAGCAGUGGGGAAUAUUGCACAAUAGGGGAAACCCUGAUGCAGCCAUGCCGCGUGUGUGAAGAAGGCCUUCGGGUUGUAAAGCACUUUCAGCGGGGAGGAAGGCAAUGGCGUUAAUAGUGUCAUUGAUUGACGUUACCCGCAGAAGAAGCACCGGCUAACUCCGUGCCAGCAGCCGCGGUAAUACGGAGGGUGCGAGCGUUAAUCGGAAUUACUGGGCGUAAAGCGUACGCAGGCGGUCUGUUAAGUCAGAUGUGAAAUCCCCGGGCUUAACCUGGGAACUGCAUUUGAAACUGGCAGGCUAGAGUCUCGUAGAGGGGGGUAGAAUUCCAGGUGUAGCGGUGAAAUGCGUAGAGAUCUGGAGGAAUACCGGUGGCGAAGGCGGCCCCCUGGACGAAGACUGACGCUCAGGUACGAAAGCGUGGGGAGCAAACAGGAUUAGAUACCCUGGUAGUCCACGCUGUAAACGAUGUCGAUUUGAAGGUUGUGGUCUUGAGCCGUGGCUUUCGGAGCUAACGCGUUAAAUCGACCGCCUGGGGAGUACGGCC